rnacentral:rRNA from 1 species
UACGUAGGGCGCAAGCGUUGUCCGGAAUUAUUGGGCGUAAAGAGCUCGUAGGCGGCUUGUCACGUCGGGUGUGAAAGCCCGGGGCUUAACCCCGGGUCUGCAUUCGAUACGGGCUAGCUAGAGUGUGGUAGGGGAGAUCGGAAUUCCUGGUGUAGCGGUGAAAUGCGCAGAUAUCAGGAGGAACACCGGUGGCGAAGGCAGCACUCUGGGACGUGACUGACGCUGAGACGCGAAAGCGUGGGGAGCAAACAGG